rnacentral:lncRNA from 1 species
UUGUGCAUGGUUUUGACACAUGUAUGACUAAUUUUUUAUUUUUUAUGAUUCCUUCCCAGAAUGAUAUAGCACAAGCCAAAUUUUAUUGAUCCCAGAUAAUGAGAACAGAGAACAAACUAUACAAUAAUCUUAAAGUAAGUAUGCUUGCCUUGUAUUAAAAUCUUGCAGAGUAUUCUGCAGUGGCCAAUUAACUCCCAUGUGCAAAGUAACAGAAGACUAGUCUCUGGCACAGGCAUGUGUUGUAGUAUUGCUGAGCUUGUUUCUGAGCCAACAGACAAUUUCUGUCAGUUCGAUGACUUACAUUCUGAACUGGUAACAGUCUCCACCUACUUUUAAAAUCACUUUCUACCACAGGUGGGAAUGUAAAGUAGACCAAUCCUACAUCUGUGAGCAUGGAACCAUGAACAAUAUCUAGUUAUGAUUUUUGCCUUCUAGAGCCAAAAGAUUUUAAAAACCCAGCUCCAAGUAAAUGCUCUGCCCACUUCAGGCCUCCUUCAGCACUACAAACCAUAUCCACAUGUGUACAUAAACCAAUUUUUUUAUUUAGCUAUACAGUUUACAAUCUGAGAGAAAGUCUGCAUGUCUAGUAUAGGUGACCUCUAAACUAUGGUAAAAAACACUUUGUAAAAGAGCUGAUAGUGCAGCUCCAUCAGAGGAGCUCUACCUCAAGCUUCACCCUUCCUGUCCAGGUCCCAGCUGGUAAAAAACCCCAAACAUUUGAGGAAAUUGAUCAUUCCAUCUCUUUCCUUGCAAUGGAUAGAUUUUUCUCAGGGCACCAUCUGGAGAUGUAUUUUGCCUUGCUUUGCUUCCCGUCUUCCUCUAACUCUUCCAUAAAAAUUUGCAUUAUGAUAUGUACUAUUUGUGUGGUGCAUUUUUAUUUUAUUUUUAAGGUCCUCGUCCAGCUCAGAUCUGGUUUGCUAAAAGAGGUAAUAAAUGCAUUAGAGGCAGCAGUGGAAGUAGAUGCUCCUCCCUUUGUGAAAAGAACAGAGUUUUCUGAGCAGGUGGGUGCCUAA